rnacentral:rRNA from 1 species
CGUGGAGACAGGUGGUGCAUGGCUGUCGUCAGCUCGUGUCGUGAGAUGUUGGGUUAAGUCCCGCAACGAGCGCAACCCUCACCUCUUGUUGCCACCAGGUCAUGCUGGGCACUCUAGAGGAACUGCCCCGGUCAACGGGGAGGAAGGGCGGGGAUGACGUCAAGUCAUCAUGCCCCUUACGUCCUGGGCUACACACGUGCUACAAUGGCCGGUACAAAGGGAUGCCACACCGCGAGGUAGAGCUAAACCCAAAAAGCCGGUCUAAGUGCAGAUUGGAGUCUGCAACUCGACUCCAUGAAGGAGGAAUCGCUAGUAUCGCGUAUCAGCACGACGCGGUGAAUACGUUCCCGGGCCUUGUACACACCGCCCGUCGCACCACGAAAGCCCGCUGUACUCGAAGUCGCUGAG